GACCAAGGAUUCUAACACGUGCGCGAGUCGCAGGGCGGUACGAAACCCGAAGGCGCAAUGAAAGUGAAGGCCGGCCCCGUUGCCGGCCCGGGUGGGAUCCCGUGGCGAGCGAUCGCGACGGGCGCACCACCGGCCCGUCUCGGCCGCCGCGUCGGCGAGGCGGAGCGAGAGCGUACUUGUUGGGACCCGAAAGAUGGUGAACUAUGCCUGAGUAGGACGAAGCCAGAGGAAACUCUGGUGGAGGUCCGCAGCGAUUCUGACGUGCAAAUCGAUCGUCAAACUUGGGUAUAGGGGCGAAAGACUAAUCGAACCAUC
rnacentral:rRNA from 1 species